rnacentral:rRNA from 1 species
GACAGAGGGGGCAAGCGUUGCUCGGAAUCACUGGGCGUAAAGGGCGCGUAGGCGGGAUGGCAAGUCGGUCGUGAAAUCCUUCGGCUCAACCGAAGAACGUCGGCCGAUACUGCUGUUCUUGAGGGAUGCAGAGGAGAUUGGAAUUCCCGGUGUAGCGGUGAAAUGUGUAGAGAUCGGGAAGAACACCAGUGGCGAAGGCGACUUACUGGACACAUAUUGACGCUGAGGUGCGAAAGCGUGGGGAGCAAACAGG